rnacentral:rRNA from 1 species
GAUGAACGCUGGCGGCGUGCCUAAUACAUGCAAGUCGAGCGAACGGACGAGAAGCUUGCUUCUCUGAUGUUAGCGGCGGACGGGUGAGUAACACGUGGAUAACCUACCUAUAAGACUGGGAUAACUUCGGGAAACCGUAGCUAAUACCGGCUAAUAUUUUGAACCGCAUGGUUCAAAAGUGAAAGACGGUCUUGCUGUCACUUAUAGAUGGAUCCGCGCUGCAUUAGCUAGUUGGUAAGGUAACGGCUUACCAAGGCAACGAUGCAUAGCCGACCUGAGAGGGUGAUCGGCCACACUGGAACUGAGACACGGUCCAGACUCCUACGGGAGGCAGCAGUAGGGAAUCUUCCGCAAUGGGCGAAAGCCUGACGGAGCAACGCCGCGUGAGUGAUGAAGGUCUUCGGAUCGUAAAACUCUGUUAUUAGGGAAGAACAUAUAUGUAAGUAACUGUGCACAUCUUGACGGUACCUAAUCAGAAAGCCACGGCUAACUACGUG